GGAAGGGAGUGUGCGGGCGUGGAGGGAGGGACAACUGUUGCUCGCUGGAUAUGGGCGUGAGGGGGCGCCGCUGGUGUUCUAAGAGUCGCCACAUGGGAGAAUGAAGGCUGGUCCCAUGCAAGUCUGGUGUGGUGGUCACCUUGAGGAGCUGCGGCCGCCCAAACACUGCGUGGUGGUGGUGUUGGUGGUGGUAUGAGUGGUAGUGAUAGUGGAGACAUGGGGAGUGAGUAGUGGUAGACAGAAACAUCCACUAUACCUCCUAAAACACUCCCUCCUAGUCCCCCCCCCUUCCUCCUUCCCUCCUCCGUAUGCCACCUGCAGCCUUCACCCUUCCAUCCCCCCCCACCCCAACCACAACCACCACACGUACUCCCCCUUACUUCCCCCCCAUUCCUCCCUCUCCUCCCUGCCUCCCCAGCUCAACAGUUAGAGGUCUUCUGCUCCACACCCUCACCCUCACCUUCACCUUAGGCCUUGGUAACUGGAAUGUCAGACGCGAAAAUGAAAGGCAAAAAAUAGUAAGUGACUGACCCUUGCCAACUUCAUCCCCGCGAGCCGCCGCCGCCGCCGCCACCACCACCACCACCACCGUCAUGCUGUUCUGUUUGUCUCCCGAAGCAGGAAACUUUAUGAAACUCAGUAAAAACGCCACCACUGCAUCGCUCACUGCUGUUCCCUGCUCACUGCCUCGCCUCUAUCGUUCCCCAGCGGAGCCAGCCACGCACGAUAAAGUCGGCGGUCCAGUGUGUAGGAAGAGUGAAAAACGACCUUAUUACCUUGACACGAAGUCCAUACGUGUGUUCGUCGGGCUAAGAAAACGACACGAGACUUGUUGUGUAAGGAAAAUGAAAAAAAAAGAUAAAAAAAAUAAAACAGCAAGAAAUGAAUGGACAAGUUAUUUUCUUCUACAAAAGUGUAAAGCAAUGAAGAUAAAGAAUAAUAAAGUAAGCAUGGCAAAAUGUGAUAAAGGAGGAAUGAAGACCAAACAGGAAAGGAGAGCUGUACAUGUUACCAAAGUGAGAGAAUACAAAGAGAAAAGUGUGAUAAAGUAAGCAAUGAGGAUAAAGAAUGAUAAAAGUAAGAAGCAUGGCAAAGUGUGAUAAAGCAGGAAUGAAGAACAAACACGAGAGAAAAAAAAAAAAAAAACUGUCCACG